rnacentral:tRNA from 2 species
UGGGGGGUCGUCUAAUGGCAAGACGCCAGCCUCUGGAGCUGGUUAUCGGGGUUCGAGUCCCUGCCCCCCAG